rnacentral:tRNA from 1 species
AAUUAAAUAGCUUAUAAUUUAGAGUAUAAUUUUGAAGAUUUUAGGGGGGUUAAUUAAUCCUUAAAUAA